CCUACGGGUGGCUGCAGUGGGGAAUAUUGCGCAAUGGGCGAAAGCCUGACGCAGCGACGCCGCGUGAGGGAUGAAGGUCUUCGGAUCGUAAACCUCUGUCAGCAGGGAAGAACGGUCACUGUGCUAAUCAGCAGUGAGUUUACGGUACCUGCAAAGGAAGCACCGGCUAACUCCGUGCCAGCCGCCGCGGGAAUACGGGGGGUGCGAGCGUUAAUCGGAAUUACUGGGCGUAAAGCGCUCGUAGGCGGUAUGUCAAGUCAAGGGUGAAAUCCCCGCGCUCAACGUGGGAACUGCCUUUGAAACUGGCAAACUGGAGUGUGUGAGAGGAUAGUGGAAUUCCAGGUGUAGGAGUGAAAUGCGUAGAUAUCUGGAGGAACAUCAGUGGCGAAGGCGACUAUCUGGCACAUAACUGACGCUGAGGAGCGAAAGCGUGGGUAGCAAACAGGAUUAGAUACCCUAGUAGUC
rnacentral:rRNA from 1 species